AACAGUGAAGGGGAAAGAACAGUGAUUUACUCCAAGUCUGUAAUUUGGACUAAAACCUUUGUGUGUUUAUUUAAUGUCAGGACACAAAACUGUACAACAUGUUCCAGGCUCGAUUGUCUUUACCUAACACUGAGUAACACGGACGAUAAACUUGACUUUUCUAUGUUGAAACACUGACAUAUUGAAUGUGAAUUAGUGAACAGUGAAAAAAUAGAUGUGAAUAUUGACUUGAUGUCAGCGGAUUCCUCCGGAGUUCCAGUUUGCGGCGCUCAUUGGUGACGUCACUUACCGGUCAGCAGCCUCUGAAUCCCGGCAGCGCUAUUUAAGUGUUUCUGCGUGAUUUUCACCAGAUGAUCUCUCUACAGUUACGUCGUGAUCUGUGACUUUUCUCACCGUCCUCCUGUUCUAGUUAUUUCUCAGUCCUGCUCUUUUUGCUGCUGCGCUUUCUUUUGCUUUUCGGCUCUGGCGCUUUUUCUGUUAGUUUUUUGGGGUUUUUUGCUAUUUUUGCUCUCCCAUUUUCCCCGUGGAUUAUUUCCCGUGUGUGGAUUAUUUCCUGUUUAUAGAUAGUGACCAUGGUGGAUUAAAGACCUGCGCUGGUGGACUAUUAUUGUACUUUGGCUACCUGUUGCUACCUGCUUGUGUUAUGAGGUUUGUGCUGUGACUUUGACCUGCUUAUGUCUCUGUCUCUAGGUUUGUUUUGCAUCCUGUGUGGAUUCGCACCUGAAAGCAGAGGAGCAUGUGGUAGCAAUGUGGGGCAACAAAAGCCCUAAAAAUCCUCCCAAAUUGUUGCACUGGCUAAACCCAAUGCUUCAGAGGAGAAACACGGAGCUCAGAUCAAGAGAAAACAUUCAGUACUGUGUGAUUAACAGGGCACUUUUGGGCAACAAGGAACACGUAUCAGUCACAUUUCAAUCAUUUCUAUCACUUGAAAAGACACAGGUUCAGACAAAAGGUGCCAUUUUCUGAGUUGUUUAACACCUCUAGCUGUAAAUGUCAGGAGGAUGAAAAUCUGAUCUUGUCAGGACUCAGCCCGGACUUUGGCCACGUGUUCUUGUUUUUGUUCCCUGUCACGUGUCUGCCUCGCACUUGUUUACUCCUCCCCGUCUCUGCACAACUGUUCCUCAUGUGUCUUGUCUAUUUAACUGUGCCGUGUUGCCUCGAGCAGUUCAGAAUCCUCUGGUGUCUUUGGUUGUCGUCUGAAGUCGUGUCUGUGUCUUUGUUUCAUGUUUUUAGUUAUUAAAACCUGUUUAUUUUACGCUA